AGAGAGAGAGAGAGAGACCCACCAACAGAGCUGGUCACAUACUUACCCUCCUCUUGACUGAUGGUUACACUUGCAUGAAAGCCAGAGAUAUAAAGAAGAGAAGAAAAAGAAGAGAUGGACAGAGGAAGGGUGAGAUGGUGAGGUGAUGGUGUUGUUGGACUGGUACUUGGUUGUUAUUUGAGAAGCCAAAAGCCUCCUUCACCAGCAGCAGCAGCAGCAGCAGCAGCCAUCGUCAGUGCUCUUACCGAUGGGGUCAGCUCCAAUUGUCCACCCUCCUCUCCCUCCAUAGCCCCCACCUCUUUCAGAACAACCAGAAAAAUAAUAUUUCUUUUUCAAAAACCAAUAUCAAUGGUCCUAAUCCCCAAUAUCCAAGCCAUAUCAAACAAGAAACAGAAUUCCCCUUCCCUUCCUCUCCAUCUCCUUCUGCGAGGCCUGCUCACAAAAACUUACAGCAAUAGAGUUCGCAUCCAAAACAUGGCAAGUAAGAGAGCGGAGUAGAAGAGAGAAAAAGAGAGAAGGUCGACUCUUUUUCCCCCCACUCUCUUUUCUGCGCUCCUCCUCUUUCCCUCCAUCUCCUACUUCAUGCCUAGAAACAAAAGGUUUUCUCCAAGGGUCUGAUCAACUUGAAACAUAUCGAGUGAGAGAAAGGAGGAAGCGAAGAACGGGAAGAAGGUUAAUUUUUCUCUCCCCC
rnacentral:lncRNA from 1 species